rnacentral:rRNA from 1 species
AUUGAACGCUGGCGGAAUGCUUUACACAUGCAAGUCGAGCGGCAGCGCGGGGGCAACCCUGGCGGCGAGCGGCGAACGGGUGAGUAAUAUAUCGGAACGUACCCCGUCGUGGGGGAUAACACAGCGAAAGCUGUGCUAAUACCGCAUACGACCUGAGGGUGAAAGCGGGGGAUCGCAAGACCUCGCGCGAUGGGAGCGGCCGAUAUCGGAUUAGCUUGUUGGUGAGGUAAAGGCUCACCAAGGCGACGAUCCGUAGCUGGUCUGAGAGGACGACCAGCCACACUGGAACUGAGACACGGUCCAGACUCCUACGGGAGGCAGCAGUGGGGAAUUUUUGGACAAUGGGGGCAACCCUGAUCCAGCCAUUCCGCGUGAGUGAAGAAGGCCU